rnacentral:rRNA from 1 species
UACAGAGGGUGCGAGCGUUGUCCGGAAUUAUUGGGCGUAAAGAGCUCGUAGGCGGCUUGGCAAGUCGGAUGUGAAAACUCCAGGCUCAACCUGGAGCCGCCAUUCGAUACUGCUAUGGCUAGAGUCCGGUAGGGGAGUGUGGAAUUCCCGGUGGUAGCGGUGAAAUGCGCAGAUAUCGGGAGGAACACCGAUGGCGAAGGCAGCACUCUGGGCCGGCACGUGACGCUGAGGAGCGAAAGCGUGGGAGCGAACGAG